UACGUAGGGUGCAAGCGUUAAUCGGAAUUACUGGGCGUAAAGCGCACGCAGGCGGUCUGUUAAGUUUUGACGUGAAAGCUCCCGGCUUAACUGGGAGAGGUCGUUGAAGACUGGCAGACUUGAGGCGAUGAGAGGGGUGUAGAAUUCCCGGUGUAGUGGUGGAAUGCGUAGAUAUCGGGGGGGAAUACCAGUGGCGAAAGCGGCACCCUAGCGUUAGCCUGACGCUCAUGUGCGAAAGCGUGGGGAGCGAACGGGG
rnacentral:rRNA from 1 species